AGAAAAAAAAAAGAAGCUAAAACAAACCAAAGAAACCAAGAGGCAAACAGAGAUCGAAAAAGAAAUAAAAAAGUUGUAAGGACAAAGGUCCUUCUAGCUUUUGGAAACAUCUUCUCCUUGACCCCUCUUUCUUCAGUGAGCUAAUGGAGCUCCAAAUCGAGUUUGAGCUCCCAACUGGGCAUGAAGCUUCUCCCCCGAUUGACACUACUAACUCAGCAUCAGCGGGCUAUAAAGGAUCUUUUCAAGCUCAAUUCGAUGUCUCUAGGUGAACGAACACUCAAAUAAAGGUAUCUUCUAUCAACAAGUAUUUGACACAAGAGACAUUCAUGUAAUCAACCUGACAUCUACCUCGAACAUAAAACUAAUUGAUCCAAUUCACAUCAGCUACAUUGAAACAACCAUUAUGGGUUUUUUGGAGUAUCCCAACGUCUCCUUCUAGCUCUGGAUAUUUAGUGUCUUCCGAUCGACAUAUCUCUACAUGUUUAUAGUCAUGCGACUGACUUAUAUCUUUAGACUUUAGUUUUUGUAUCUCAUUGUCCAUACUAU